rfam:Caenorhabditis brenneri strain PB2801 C_brenneri-6.0.1_Cont496.6, whole genome shotgun sequence.
UGAACAUCCUGGUGACCAAACACAGUUAAAUCGGGAUGUUUGGUCGUCGAGACGUUCAAA